rnacentral:rRNA from 1 species
AGAUUGAACGCUGGCGGCAUGCCUUACACAUGCAAGUCGAGCGGCAGCGCGGGGGCAACCCUGGCGGCGAGCGGCGAACGGAUGAGUAAUACAUCGGAACGUGUCCAGUAGCGGGGGAUAACCUGUCGAAAGAUAGGCUAAUACCGCAUACGACCUACGGGUGAAAGCGGGGGACCGCAAGGCCUCGCACUAUUGGAGCGGCCGAUGUCGGAUUAGCUAGUUGGCGGGGUAAAAGCCCACCAAGGCGACGAUCCGUAGCUGGUCUGAGAGGACGACCAGCCACACUGGAACUGAGACACGGUCCAGACUCCUACGGGAGCAGCAGUGGGAAUUUGGACAAUGGGCGCAAGCCUGAUCCAGCCAUGCCGCGUGAGUGAAGAAGGCCUUCGGGUUGUAAAGCUCUUUCGGCGUAGGACGAACGGUCCGUGACAACACCGACGACUAAUGACGUACUCGCAGAAGAAGCACCGGCUAACUACGUGCUAGCAGCCGCGGUAAC